GCGCCGUUAGCUCAGCUGGAUAGAGUACCUGGCUACGAACUAGGCGGUCGGGGGUUCGACUCCCUCACGGCGCA
rnacentral:tRNA from 1 species